GCUCCUAUAGCUCAGCUGGCAGAGCGCAAGACUGAAGUAAGCAAAAAUUGCCUUCAAUAGGAUUCCUCAGUCCUUCUUGAGGUCACCUGUUCGAACCAGGUUGGGAGCA